rnacentral:rRNA from 1 species
CGUACUUCUUCCCUGCCGACAGAGCUUUACACCCCAAAGGGCUUCAUCGCUCACGCGGUAUAGCUGCGUCAGGCUUUCGCCCAUUGCGCAAAAUUCCCUACUGCUGCCUCCCGUAGGAGUAUGGACCGUGUCUCAGUUCCAUUGUGGCUGAUCAUCCUCUCAAACCAGCUACUGACCGUCGCCUUGGUGGGCAUUUACCCCACCAACUAGCUAAUCAGACGCAGGCUCAUCUCAAGGCGUCGGAGCAUUUCAUGACAAGCAUUUCAGCCUGCCACAUAUAGGGUAUUAGCUCCAGUUUCCCGAAGUUGUCCCCUUCCUUGAGGUAGAUUUCCUACGUGUUACUCACCCGUCCGCCACUUAUGUACCCCGAAGGGCCUUAUCGUUCGACUUGCAUGUAUGAAGCUUACCGCCAGCGUUCGUCCUGAGCCAUGAUCAAACUCUAAUCACUAGUGAAUUCGCGGCCGCCUGCAGGUCGACCAUAUGGGAGAGCUCCCAACGCGUUGGAUGCAUAGCUUGAGUAUUCUAUAGUGUCACCUAAAUAGCUUGGCGUAUCAUG